UACGGAGGGAGCUAGCGUUGUUCGGAAUUACUGGGCGUAAAGCGCACGUAGGCGGCUUUUGUAAGUUAGAGGUGAAAAGCCCGGGGCUCAACUCCGGAACUGCCUUUAAGACUGCAUCGCUUGAAUCCAGGAGAGGUGAGUGGAAUUCCGAGUGUAGAGGUGAAAUUCGUAGAUAUUCGGAAGAACACCAGUGGCGAAGGCGGCUCACUGGACUGGUAUUGACGCUGAGGUGCGAAAAGCGUGGGGGAGCAAACAGG
rnacentral:rRNA from 1 species